rnacentral:rRNA from 1 species
UACGUAGGGGGCAAGCGUUAUCCGGAUUUACUGGGUGUAAAGGGAGCGUAGACGGCGAUGCAAGCCAGAUGUGAAAGCCCGGGGCUCAACCCCGGGACUGCAUUUGGAACUGUAUAGCUAGAGUGUCGGAGAGGCAGGCGGAAUUCGUGGUGUAGCGGUGAAAUGCUUAGAUAUCACGAAGAACCCCGAUUGCGAAGGCAGCCUGCCGCAGCGUUACUGACGCUGAAGCUCGAAAGCGCGGGUAUCGAACAGG